GCACAAGCGGUGGAGCAUGUGGUUUGAUUCGACGCAACGCGAAGAACCUUACCAGGGCUUGACAUCCCCUGACCGCGUAUGAAAGUACGAAUUCACCUUCGGGUGACAGGGAGACAGGUGGUGCAUGGUUGUCGUCAGCUCGUGUCGUGAGAUGUUGGGUUAAGUCCCGCAACGAGCGCAACCCCUACGUUUAGUUGCUAACGCGUGAAGGCGAGCACUCUAGACGAACUGCCGUUGACAAACGGAGGAAGGUGGGGAUGACGUCAAAUCAUCAUGCCCCUUAUGUUCUGGGCUACACACGUGCUACAAUGGCCGGUACAGACGGACGCAAAGCCGCGAGGUGGAGCAAAUCCUAAAAAGCCGGUCUCAGUUCGGAUUGCAGGCUGCAAUUCGCCUGCAUGAAGUCGGAAUCGCUAGUAAUCGCAGGUCAGCAUACUGCGGUGAAUACGUUCCCGGGCCUU
rnacentral:rRNA from 1 species